GGGGGCGAUUUGGAUUCGACCGGAUGUCUAGAAGCGUUGGUUGCGUGUCGUGGUUGAUCAGUUGGCCACGUAAAAAGCUGAUCACAAUUUUUAGUUGCAGAUGAAAAUCUCGCACUGGCCGCCUAAGAACAGGUAGCCCGGACUGAUGGGGAUCGCCAGAGUCGCCUGAAAGUCCGUCACAAUUCUGGAUCGCCACAUCGUCCUACUCGAGACGCGGUGGGUUAAAAACUGAUUCGAGUUAGCAAUCGGCGGAGCCUGUCGGGCAGCGCCGUUCAGAGCGAAAGAGUCUCUUCGCGAGGCUGAAAUAGCUCGACUUCACACGUAGACGCCGUCGUGGAUGCAUCUCGGGACGCGGGUUCAAUUCCCGCCGCCUCCAUUC
rnacentral:tmRNA from 1 species